CAGAAGGGUUGUUACAUCGAAAGGGGGCAACAUAGUUUCCUCAUGCAAUUCGAAAGAAUGGAUCAUGAGCACUACGAAACACAACCAUUAAUCUUUACGGUUGUUCAGGCGCCGAAGCUAGAUUUGAGUCACAUGUGGAAUCCACCGAUUUCAAAGUUGAUGGAGUGCUUAGAAAAUUCCAGAACAUACAUCCGGAGAGAUACGGGUGGAAGAUACAACCCUAUAUUCCAAAUCCAGUACGGGAUCAGAGAUUUUGGAUGCA